rnacentral:rRNA from 1 species
UACAGAGGUCCCGAGCGUUGUUCGGAUUCAUUGGGCGUAAAGGGUGCGUAGGCGGUUGUUUAAGUUUGGUGUGAAAUCUCCCGCUCAACUGGGAGGGUGCGCCGAAUACUGGAAUGACUAGAGUGCGGGAGAGGAGAGCGGAAUUCACGUGUAGCGGUGAAAUGCGUAGAGAUGUGGAGGAACACCAGUGGCGAAGGCGGCUCUCUGGACUGUAACUGACGCUGAGGCGCGAAAGCGUGGGGAGCAAACAGG